AGCGUUGUUCGGAAUUACUGGGCGUAAAGAGCGCGUAGGCGGUCGUUCAAGUCGAGUGUGAAAGCCCCCGGCUCAACUGGGGAGGGUCACUCGAUACUGAUCGACUCGAAGGCAGGAGAGGGAAGUGGAAUUCCCGGUGUAGUGGUGAAAUGCGUAGAUAUCGGGAGGAACACCAGUGGCGAAGGCGACUUCCUGGCCUGUUCUUGACGCUGAGGCGCGAAAGCUAGGGGAGCAAACGGG
rnacentral:rRNA from 1 species